AGUGGGAUAGCUGGGUCAAAUGGUGAUUCCAUUCCAAGUUUUCCAAGGAAUCUCCAUACUGCUUUCCAGAUUGUCUGCACCAUUUUGCAGUCCCACCAUCAAU
rnacentral:pre_miRNA from 1 species